ensembl:lncRNA
CACAGAUCUUAGAGUACGUCAGUGCUCCACUGAGACCACCUUACUCCGUGUACUCCGUGUACUUUCAUUUAAUCGUGAGGCACACAAAUGAUAUCUGCACACCAAUGUGAUGUCGGAGAGCAUAAGAGGUGCUCAGAACCGUGAUGAUGCUGAUAAUGACAGAUAGGAUCCUGGACUGAGGGGCUACCAAGGCCAAUCACUGCUGUUGGAUGAGAACCGAUGGGCUGUCUAACCUGGCAACAGCAUGCCAACUGCAAAAGGUAAAGGUGGCUCAACGUCCCACCGUUACCGGCCGGCCUCGGAGUACGAUGAUGCCACGCUCGCCCUAAAGCGAGAGUACUGGAGAAACAAGAAGCGAGAGCAGCGGGCCCGUCUGUCAGAGGAGAGGGAAAGGCACAAACACAACAACAGCAGCCGGG